rnacentral:lncRNA from 1 species
GGACCGGUCUUAAUAUACAGCUCCUGGAUAAUGUUUUGGGCCGGCGACCAGCAAACGACUUAAACGGAGCUUUGAAUUCAGCGACGGCUACCCAGAUGCUGGAAAAUAUGUGUGGCGCCUCCUCAUAUGAACAAGAAGACGUCGAAAACGGAGACGGAGACGAGUCAGUGGCAUCCCCCUCCGGAAAUGAAAAUGACCCAGAACCCCCUCCACCAUCAACAAGUGCUCAGGCAAACACUGGAAGAAGGGGAAAAAGGAAGUCCCAGCAGCAGGACCUACUGCAGUAUAUGGAAUGAGCGGAUGAAAAGUUCCUUGAACACAGCCAGAGGCUAACAGACUCAUUUUUAAAUAGAAUGGAGAGCACCAGCAACAAUUUAUUGGGCCUCCUGGGAAGAAUUGUAACUGCAAUUGAAAAGGAACAGUAACAUUCUCACACACACACACACAUAAACUAUUUCUUAUACACAAAUAUUUACUACUAUUCAUAAUAUAUAUAUUUAAAAACUAUUUCUUAUACACAAAUAUUUACUACUAUUUAUAAUAUACAUAUUUAUUAACUAUUUAUACUAUAUGUCCAUUAAGAUCUAUUGCAAAUAAAACUUGGAAAAUUGUAUUAGUAUCA